rnacentral:rRNA from 1 species
UGGGGAAUUUUGGACAAUGGGCGCAAGCCUGAUCCAGCCAUGCCGCGUGCGGGAAGAAGGCCUUCGGGUUGUAAACCGCUUUUGUCAGGGAAGAAAUCUUCUGAGUUAAUACCUCGGGGAGGAUGACGGUACCUGAAGAAUAAGCACCGGCUAACUACGUGCCAGCAGCCGCGGUAAUACGUAGGGUGCAAGCGUUAAUCGGAAUUACUGGGCGUAAAGCGUGCGCAGGCGGUUUUGUAAGACAGAGGUGAAAUCCCCGGGCUCAACCUGGGAACUGCCUUUGUGACUGCAAGGCUUGAGUGCGGCAGAGGGGGGAUGGAAUUCCGCGUGUAGCAGUGAAAUGCGUAGAUAUGCGGAGGAACACCGAUGGCGAAGGCAAUCCCCUGGGCCUGCACUGACGCUCAUGCACGAAAGCGUGGGGAGCAAACAGGAUUAGGUACCCCUGGGUAGUCCACGCCCUAAACGAUGUCAACUGGUUGUU